ensembl:lncRNA
AGAGAAGAGCACUACAGAGGGACCUGGAUAGACUGGAUUUAUGGGCCAAGGUGCUGUUACUGAAAGAUUCCUGAGAAUUUAUCGAGAAGAAAAAACAGUUCAGCUUUAGGAUUGGACACUGAAGACAAUACGAUUUUUCUUGAUCAUCAGAACCUUUGGAAUUCAGGUUUUCAGGUUUGUCCAUUAAGCCAAUUUAUACUGCAUAGGAGGAAAGUAGUCACUCUUAACCUUGAACUAUAAGAAAUUUAACUGAGCCAUAAAUUGUGGAAUAAUUUGGAGCAGAAAAUGUGUGCUUGUUCCUCAAGAGACUGAUUUUUAAUUAGUCACUUUCAAAAAUCCUUAAUUCAGAUGCCAUGAAUACCAAAUAACCUUACUUGGCCUCACUUCUUUUAUUUAUGCACCUUAUUCUGUAGUGAAUUCAUCCAAUGAUGGCUUCAGGCACAGAAAAUUUUAGGUAGUUAGUAAGAGCAGCAGACUGCUAGGGUAACGAACAGAGAACUCUUCUGAAUUUGCCCUGUGCAAAAGCCUUGAAAAAGAAGUUGCAGUUGCUGCUCAUGAAAGUGUGGGACUGAACAGUGGCUGUUACUGUUGAAAAAAACAGGAGAAAAGAAAGAAAGAAGGAGGGUAAGGAGCUUUCUACUUUAUUCCUACUGACACCCCUUACAUAAUCCUGCUCUUCAGGAGUCUGCCUUUUCACCACCUCUUUUCUCUGUUUCUGUGUGCGGAUUUUUUUUUUCCUUUCCUUUUCUAUCUCAGUCCUCCUCGCGCAGCAAAAUUUGCUUUUAGUUACACAGCAGACGAGCUUUGAGUUGACUCUACCUUACCUGUUCUUUCAUCUGUAGAAAUCAGCUUUAUAUGAGUGACUUGAUCUGGCCUAGAUUUCCAUUUCCUGCUACUUGAAUUAUCUAUUGUAUAAAGUAACUAACAGGUUCUGAGCUGACCACUGUAAGGGGAGAGCAAGACUUGAAUUUAUAAUGGAUAGUUGAGUGAAAGUAUUAGCACACUGCUUACUAGAAAGAAAACAAACAAAAGCAAUAUCAAAAAACAACAAACAAACAAACAAAAACCCACCCAAACACAUAGGUGGGAAAUUGCUACCAAAAACAUAAUUAUGCCAUUUUGUGCAUAAUGUAUCCCCAUGACUUGAUGGCUCUUCUCUCUGUUUCCCAUUAUUUCAAAGGAAAGGAAAUUCCCAUUAUUUCGAAAGGAAGGGAAAAUGAGAAUGUAUGAGAAAACUUAUGAAACACUGUUUCUCCUAUAAAUGUAUGGACACGUAUCCUGCACUGAAAACAGUGGGAUAGAUAACUUAUUGAGAAAGUAGUUCUCUGGGUCAGUCUGUAUAAUCUGUACAUUAGGUUGAUGGAAAUGCAUUGAUAGCUUUCUAAAAUAAAAAGGAUAGAAUUGAAUGCAUCUCUGUGAAGUGUAUUUGCAAAUGCUGAUAGAUUUUUUUUAGUACAAUAUAUAAAU